rnacentral:lncRNA from 1 species
UUUCCGUUUUUUUUAAAAUAAAGUUUCUUGGUUCUGAUUCUGAUUGCCAUGAUGAAAUGCAAAUGCUAAAUGACCUAAAAAUGAAUGCAUGCACGAGGUGUAAAGCGUAUGCUUCCAGGAAAAAUGAAGGGUAAAUUUUGGGGUAUUACACCUAUGAAUUAAGGUUUCAAACAAACACAUGGUGAAAAUUCAAGCCAUAAGGCACACUAAGGCCACACUCUCCUUGAUUAGGGUUUUAAUGGGGCAUACCUCUCAUACAAGGCCUUUGAAU